GCAUACUGACCCACAUUUUUUCAGGUUCACUCAUGACAACAUAGUUACAUGUUCUCGCGAUGGAAGUGCUAUUAUUCGGAUUCCAAAAUCACGCAGAUCCCAUUGAAAAGUUGGGCGUUGGACACGUGCUUAUCAUCUUAAGGUUCCUCCACCUCCAAUGCCUCCGCAGCCUGCUCGUGGAGGUCCACGGCAAAGAUUUCAGCCCACUCCUCGUGGUGUUAAUAUGAUUGUUUGGAGCUUGGAUAAUCGUUUUGUGCUUGCUGCUAUCAUGGGUAAAGUGUCUUAUUGUCUGAUUUGUAUUUCUGCCUUUUCAGCUGGAAAAUGUCUUGGGUAAUUUUAAUUCCCUUGAAUAAAAUUUCAUAUAUGUUACUGAGAAAACUUUCAAGAUCUCUUUUUUUGUGAAAGAUUCAUUUAGUAUGAUCUCUGUACUGGUAUACUAAUUGAUUAUUUAACAUCAA